rnacentral:rRNA from 1 species
UACGAAGGGGGCUAGCGUUGCUCGGAAUCACUGGGCGUAAAGGGUGCGUAGGCGGGUCUUUUAAGUCAGGGGUGAAAUCCUGGAGCUCAACUCCAGAACUGCCUUGAUACUGAAGAUCUUGAGUUCGGGAGAGGUGAGUGGAACUGCGAGUGUAGAGGUGAAAUUCGUAGAUAUUCGCAAGAACACCAGUGGCGAAGGCGGCUCACUGGCCCGAUACUGACGCUGAGGCACGAAAGCGUGGGGAGCAACA